GACGAACGCUGGCGGCGUGCCUAAUACAUGCAAGUUGAGCGCUGAAGGUUGGUACUUGUACCAACUGGAUGAGCAGCGAACGGGUGAGUAACGCGUGGGGAAUCUGCCUUUGAGCGGGGGACAACAUUUGGAAACGAAUGCUAAUACCGCAUAAAAACUUUAAACACAAGUUUUAAGUUUGAAAGAUGCAAUUGCAUCACUCAAAGAUGAUCCCGCGUUGUAUUAGCUAGUUGGUGAGGUAAAGGCUCACCAAGGCGAUGAUACAUAGCCGACCUGAGAGGGUGAUCGGCCACAUUGGGACUGAGACACGGCCCAAACUCCUACGGGAGGCAGCAGGAGGGAAUCUUCGGCAAUGGACGAAAGUCUGACCGAGCAACGCCGCGUGAGUGAAGAAGGGUGUCGGAUCGUAAAACUCUGUUGGUAGAGAAGAACGUUGGUGAGAGUGGAAAGCUCAUCAAGUGACGGUAACUACCCAGAAAGGGACGGCUAACUACGUG
rnacentral:rRNA from 1 species